rnacentral:rRNA from 1 species
UUAACACAUGCAAGUCGAGCGGGCGUAGCAAUACGUCAGCGGCAGACGGGUGAGUAACGCGUGGGAACGUACCUUUUGGUUCGGAACAACACAGGGAAACUUGUGCUAAUACCGGAUAAGCCCUUACGGGGAAAGAUUUAUCGCCGAAAGAUCGGCCCGCGUCUGAUUAGCUAGUUGGUGAGGUAACGGCUCACCAAGGCGACGAUCAGUAGCUGGUCUGAGAGGAUGAUCAGCCACAUUGGGACUGAGACACGGCCCAAACUCCUACGGGAGGCAGCAGUGGGGAAUAUUGGACAAUGGGCGCAAGCCUGAUCCAGCCAUGCCGCGUGAGUGAUGAAGGCCCUAGGGUUGUAAAGCUCUUUUGUGCGGGAAGAUAAUGACGGUACCGCAAGAAUAAGCCCCGCA